GAUGAAGAACGCAGCGAAAUGCGAUAAGUAAUGUGAAUUGCAGAAUUCAGUGAAUCAUCGAAUCUUUGAACGCACAUUGCGCCCGCUAGUAUUCUGGCGGGCAGGCCUGUCCGAGCGUCAUUUCAACCCUCAAGCCCCCGGGCUUGGUGUUGGGGAUCGGCGAGCCUCCGCGCCCGCCGUCCCCUAAAUCUAGUGGCGGUCUCGCUGUAGCUUCCUCUGCGUAGUAGCACACCUCGCACUGGGAAACAGCGCGGCCACGCCGUUAAACCCCCAACUUCUGAACGUUUGACCUCGGAUCAGGUAGGAAUACCCGCUGAACUUAAGCAUAUCAAUAAGCGGAGGA
rnacentral:misc_RNA from 1 species